rnacentral:misc_RNA from 1 species
AAAGUCGUAACAAGGUUUCCGUAGGUGAACCUGCGGAAGGAUCAUUAACACGCAGCAUCCAAACCUCUUUGGAUCCACCCAACCUCGAGCGAACCCAUUGUCCCUUUUCUCUUUGCUUUUUCCACUCCUCUGACCAUUGUGUGUCUGAAAUUGCUGCGGGCCCGGUUCCUUCCGGCGCCCCCAGCUGCAUCGAACGCAGUACAACUCUUAACAACGGAUAUCUUGGCUCUC